GGAGUUGGUAGCCCAGUGGUUGAGUGCAAGCUUUGUAGGUAUAAUGUCCUGGGUUCAAAACCCAGCUUCUCCC